rnacentral:rRNA from 1 species
AGAGUUUGAUCUUGGCUCAGAAUCAACGCUGGCGGCGUGCCUCAGACAUGCAAGUCGAACGAUUAAAGCUCUCUUCGGAGAGUGUAUAGAGUGGCGCACGGGUGAGUAACACGUAAGUAAUCUACCCUCGAGUGGGGAAUAACGUCCGGAAACGGACGCUAAUACCGCAUAAUGCAGCGGCACCGCAAGGUGACAGUUGUUAAAGAUUUAUCGCUUGAGGAGGAGCUUGCGGCAGAUUAGCUAGUUGGUAAGGUAAUGGCUUACCAAGGCUACGAUCUGUAACCGGUCUAAGAGGACGGUCGGUCACACUGACACUGAAUAACGGGUCAGACUCCUACGGGAGGCAGCAGUCGGGAAUUUUGGGCAAUGGGCGAAAGCCUGACCCAGCAACGCCGCGUGAAGGAUGAAGUAUUUCGGUAUGUAAACUUCGAAAGAAUAGGAAGAAUAGAUGACGGUACUAUUUAUAAGGUCCGGCUAACUACGUGCCAGCCGCCGCCGU